GCCCUGAGUAAACUCCUCCCUGGAAGGCAUUUGCAGUUAGGCUGCUCCGGCUGAAAGUCACAUGAGCUGAGCUCAAACAUUCUAAAAAAUUUUUCUUAGUAACAUUAUUUGAACAAAAUAAAAACCUGUCCCAGCAGUUCUCUCUACCAGGCACUUGGCAGAGGUCCCACAAGUUUCUCAGAAACUUGGGCCGGGCCCCAGCUCAUCCCAAGGAAUCUUUGGGCUCAGCUGCCUGUCUUAGGGAAUGCUUGCCUUGCCAUCAAGUGAAUUCAGGACAAAAACCAUUGGGAUUUAGAACAGCCUGAGUUCCAAUCUGCUGGACUUAUGAAAAAGAAAAAGCUGGGGAGAAGACAGAGGAAUGCUUUGGCUCAUGCAACAGAAAAGUCUGGAGGCAACCGCUUCAGGAUUUGUUGUCUUGCCGCUUUGAAGAAUGAAGAGGUGGAUACAAAAUGAGCAGCAGGCAAAAGUUUAUUAGAGUAUAAGAUCAGAAAGGAAGAAGAGUAGGAAAGGUCCCUUUACAGAGAAUAUUGGAAAGUGAAUGCCAGAGGACUACAGGAGCUUGAGCUUCUUGGAACCAUCCUUGAGCUUCUCAGGAACCUGUGCCUGGGAAAAGGAUCAUAUGAUACUUCACUGUGGGGACCACUUCUCAGGAUGGGGGCAGAUGAGAGACUGGUAGGAUGAGAAACUGAAACUGGGUUGGGUACUGCAACAGUCCUAGCCCAUAUUCUUUCCCAUUCAUCUGUGAAGUAUGUUUGGCCAAGAGAAAUCAGCACCUAGAAGAUGAAGCAACAUCAUGCCAGGGUACCUUACAGUAUACUCUUCAAGAAGGUGUCUCAAUUUAGAGGCUUUGUGCCAGCUGCAAAUCCUAUAGGGAAUACCCAAGCACGACUUUUCCAUUGAGAGGUGAGAAUGGCCACACCACCUCUCACUGGGAAUGUGUCUGGUUCGGCUUCCUAGUACCUCAAGAUCCAUUCCCCAGAUGCUAAGGACUGUGGGACUGGAGAGGAUUUCAUAAAAAAGAAACUCCAAAGGAAAAGUUACAUUGAAAUGCUGUGUGUCUGACACAGAGCCAGGCACAUAGUGAGCCCUUGACUAAUAUGUAUUUAAUCAACUGAAAAUACCUCCUGGGGGAGAAAGAAAUAGGAAGAGAGAGAGAGAGAAAUAGAGAAGGAAGGAAGGAAGGAAGGAAGGAAGGAAGGAAGGAAGGAAGGAAGGAAGGAAGGAAGGAAGGAAGGAAAAGAAAGACAGCCCCAGCAGCUUACUACACAGAUUUCCACUACAGGCGAAGUGGUAGUGGGCUCGACAUGGUGACAUCAGCUUGUCAAGCUGCAGGUGUACGUGGGCAGAUGUUUGGGGAGAAGCCCACGCAUACAGACUCUCUUAUCUUCACCAGCCCCCUUUGCCAUCCUCUGCCUCCCACACAUCCUGGACUUCACACACAAUAUGGAUGCCCAGCUCCAAGAUGAAGGGUUGGGGUAGAAGAGGGAGCAGGGCCUUUGUGUUAAGCGCCUCCUGGAAAUGCACCGUGGGGCUGUUUUCUGUGCGGGAAACAUUUACACCAAGCGUUUCCCCAUUUCCCAUACUGAUCUCAUCUGGUUAGCAGCCUCCACUUUCAGCUUUGCGUAACUCUCUUUGCCAGCUGCAGAAAGCAGACUUUUUCCAAAAUCUAACGAACAAAUUUGCCUGGCUAGGCUAGUAACUGUUUUGUUUUUACUUUCUUACUAUGUCUUUUGGUAACAUAAAGCCGUAUUUAUAUUUUAUAUUUGAAAAUGAAAGGAAUAGUAAUACAUCAUAAAAGUGCCUUCAUGCACACAAUGUCUCCAGUAAAGGGCUUGACAAAUGUCCUUUAAGUAGAUGCUCCAUCCCACGUUCUACUUGCAUUUGUCAUUUUAUUUUCAGCAUCUCAGCUGGUACACAAACGGAGUUACAGUAGCACAGGCUUGUGUUUCUCCCAGCAUCGCGCAUGCAGGUUUCCUGUACCGCUGACUUGCUACUGUUACAGCUCAGGUAUGAAAUGGCCAGAAGUUACCAGUUGGGAAUGAUGACAUUAACGAGUAAAUGGCAACACACGAGCAGUCCACCAGCAUCAGGUGUGAGUUUAUGUGGACACACUCUGUAGGGAGAUGGAUUUAUCUGCAUCGUACACAGUCUACUUACAUUUUCGUUACAUAACAACUUUCUAUGAGGACAGCGAUUAAUUUGUAAACACUGCCAGAGUAUCUUCUAUCUGGUUUGUGAUUUUUGAGAGUGCAUUUUGUGGUUGUGUUUUGUCGUGGUUCUUGUUUUCGUUUCUGUUUUAAGAGUAGAUCUGUACAUAAAAUUGUAGUAGUUAAAGCUUUGCCUUUUUGGGAAAAGUAAUAACUAAGCAUGUGCAGGGCAACUGGUGUUUAUGGGAGAAGAAACCUGAGGGGAGAUGCUUUAAAAGAGAAGUCAGGGGAUAUGAACGGACACUUUUUCAAAAAAGACAUCCAGAUGGCUAACAGACACAAGAAAAGAUGCUCAACAUCACUCAUCAUCAGGGAAAUACAAAUCAAAACCACAAUGAGAUAUCAUCUCACACCUGUCACAAUGACUAAAAUUCACAGCUCGGGAAACAACAGAUGUUGCCAAGGAUGCAGAGAAAGGGGAUCCCUUUUGCACUGCUGGUGGGAAUACAAACUAGUGCAGCCACCCUGGAAAACAGUAUGGCGGUUCCUCAAAAAAUUAAAAAUAGAACUACCCUAAGACCCCAACAAUUGCCCUACUAGGUAUUUAUCCAAAUGUUACAAAAAUGCUGAUCCACAGGGACACAGGGACCCCAAUAUUUAUAGCAGCGCUACCGACAAAAGCCAAAGUAUGGAAACAGCCCAAAUGUCCACCGACUGAUGAAUGAAGAAGAUGUGGUAUAUAUAUAAUGGAAUAUUACUCAGUGAUCAAAAAGAAUGAGUCUUGCCAUUUACAACAACGUGGAUGG